UUCAAAUAGUUUCUAUAUUAAAGAUACCUAUACCCUAUUGCAAUAUAAUUGGUCAUUAGGAUAAGUGCAUGGUUUGUAUUUGUUUACAGAUUUAGCAGUAUAACAAAUAUUUACUGCCUAAACUACCUUAAAACAGAUUUUACCAAUGGUGACUGCUUUUUUUUAAAUAACACAAUUAGCCUGACAAACCGAGAAGGUAAGUUGAAUGCUAUACUUAUUUAUUAGAAAAUAAAAUGAUUUAAAUCAGAAUAAAGAAGUGUGUUACUUAGUUGUGUUAAUGCAACAGACGAUUAACACUAAUCAGCUCUUUGUGUACAGCACAGCAGGAUAAGGUGAAAGUGAUCUUCCCAGGCAAGAUAAAAGUGUGCUUCAGGAAAGGACAAACUGCAACAUUACCUAACUCGGAAAACAGCUUCAGAGUGUUUCAGCAAAACUUGCUUCCUCUGGCCUUGUAGCAUCUGUUUCUCAUCCUCCAGAAAUGGAGGAUGAUGAAGAAUUAGAGAGAAUGAUACUUUUUAUAUCCCCAUCCAAAAUCCAAGGCCAACAACCUCACACAGGCAUAGAAGUGGAGGAGGGUGAAGAAUUGGGGAGAAUGAUGCUACCCACUAAAAGGCCACAUGAGUUCAGAAGUUGUUGGAAUCCCAGUGGUCAAAGGUCUUAUUCCUUCUGCACACUAGGAAUGAUUCUGACAUGAAUCAGGAUUAUAUUUUCUACAUUGAUUUGUUGCUGUUUGUUGGUUAGCUCAUGUUAAGGUCUAUUCUAAUUCUUGUGUCAAUUGUUCUAACAUUGAAAAUAUGUAUAUAUCAUCAUCAUGUCAGAGUUCAUGAUUUGCAUGUUUUUUUUUUGCAUGUUAUUCUUUGAAAGUUUGAUAUGCACAUGAUUUACAGAUACACAAAGCUGUAGAGUACUUAUGUAAUGUAGAUCAUACCACAUCAUACCACACCCCUAAUAUUAUAAAGAUUGUUAACAUGUGUUCUAUGGGUUUGCAUGCAUUUACAUUACUAUUAAUUAACACAUUUACAUUUUUCUGUGUUAGGUAGGCAUUAACCACCAGCAACUCUCUCAAAACCAGACAGGCCUGAUGAAAACAGUGCUACUUCAUCUCCACAGGAGUGAGGGUUCCUUUGCCAGUACCUCCAGAGUUGUUAAAUUAUCUACAAGCAAGACCACAUCGCCUUUGACACCAGUGAAUGAAACCGUUUUCUGUCAGUUGACCUCUGCACAGUCUACAGACUCUACUCCUCCCUGCAGCUGCUGUCCAGUCUUUCUCAGGACUCCCUGCAGCCUAUUCUGGGUACCCCUCAACUCAAAGUGACUGCCCUCAUGUCUCCUGUUUCUGAAUGUAUGCAUUGUAAUUAUUGUAUCAUAAAAAUAUAACUCUGUAUUUUGUUAUGGAUAUCUGUUACAUGCAGAAACCACUGUGGUAGUUUAAUACUUUUGGCACAAUCCUAUUUAUAACUGUACACAUGCACAUGGGCAGUAGGAUCAUCUGUGUUUAACUGAAAAAGUACUGUGUAGCCUUAUUAAGCCUGUUUCUGUUUCUUAAAAUUGUCACUUAAUUUCAUAGAUUGAUUAUUUAUUUUGGUCAUCUUGAGAUAUUUCCAGUAUGUGUUCAUUCAAUAUAAUUGCCUUUGUUCACAUUUUUGUGCACUUAACGUGUUUAUAUUGUUGUGGUAGAAUGAUUGUCUUAUAAAAUUAAAUAGGUAUGCAUUUAAUUGUAUUCUUUUAAAUGUCAAUUUUAUUAAAAAGUGUUUUAUCUAAAAA